rnacentral:rRNA from 1 species
UAUAAAACUGCUUAUACUGUGAAACUGCGAAUGGCUCAUUAAAUCAGUUAUAGUUUAUUUGAUGGUACCUACUACUCGGAUAACCGUAGUAAUUCUAGAGCUAAUACGUGCGUAAAUCCCGACUUCUGGAAGGGACGUAUUUAUUAGAUUUAAGGCCGACCGAGCUUGCUCGUCUUGCGGUGAAUCAUGAUAACUUCGCGAAUCGCAUGGCCUCCGCGCCGGCGAUGUUUCAUUCAAAUUUCUGCCCUAUCAAUUUGCGAUGGUAGGAUAGAGGCCUACCAUGGUGGUAACGGGUGACGGAGAAUUAGGGUUCGAUUCCGGAGAGGGAGCCUGANAAACGGCUAGCA